rnacentral:lncRNA from 1 species
UAGGUUUUACGAGGGCAUAAUGAACUGCUUUCCAGCUGCUUAGUCUGAAGUGGAUGGACAGAACAGAAGGUUAAAUGGUUUGCAGAAUUAUUGAAGGUGACAGGAUAGCUUGGGCUGGACUGCGGAUCACGGUCUUUAGAUGCCUUUCUUGGAUCUAUAUAAUGUUGAGAAGAUUAAUGCUUGUGAAGUUAAUAUUUCUUUAUAUGAAUCCGUAGUGUUAAGUGCGAUUUAUUUUGAUGAAUGUUUGAUAAAACCUGGUGAAAGUUGUGGUUUCUGACCUAUUUACUUUUAUUAACUGUACUAUGAUAAUGUAUCCUGGUGUUAUCUAAUAUACGGGCAAUGCUGGUGGUGGAACAUUGGAAACGAGAAAGUAUUGCAGAUGGCGUCUCAGCCUUGACAAGGAAAGGUUGGCUUCUAUAUUCCUGAAGAACGAGAGUUAAAAGGAUCUGGUAAAAUAUUUCUAACCUAGUGUUAAGUUCUUCGUAAGCUGCGAGUGAAACAGAGGAGGAACGGAAAACGGGUGGAGAUGGAGUAAAGAAAUUGUAGCUCAUUUCUUCACUCUGUAUUUUAUAGGUUCAACUUGAAAAGUGUGCUCAGGUCAUGACUUUUAACGUAUUGAUUGAGGUUCCAACAUCGAACGGAUUGCUGCGAAUUUACUUGGAAUUCAAACGUAGUGUAACGUGUUAGCAGUCGUUUUGUCCAAGUUGAAAAUAUAAGGGUUGUAUAUAUAUGCAAUUAGGCACUCACCCAAGUCUCAAGGUCUUGUUACCCAAACAAAAUCAUGUCUGUACAUAGGUCCUUCCCCUUCAACUCCAAUAGUCUAAAAAAAAUAGGUUAGAUUGAACUACAUUCCUGACUAGGUGUUUGGUCAGAGACUUUCCGGAAAAAAGUAAUAGUAAAAACGAUGCCUCCUUUGCAUACAAUCUGUUUGCCCUAUAAGGAAAUGAUAAAAAAAAAUGUUACCCAGUAUAAAUUAAUUAUUUGAAGCAUGAAUCACUCUCCACUCGAAAUUAAAUAUUAAAAAGAAAACAGAGAAUUAGGAGGGGAGGGGAGGAGAGGAGAGAUUCCAAAAUCACUUUCUUGUGGGAAAUAGAUAUUUCUUGAUUUCUACUAAUCAAAAGUGGGAUUUUAGUGCAUCCUUAAUCAGCAUCAACUAACUACUUACAUAACUACAAAAGCAGCCUAUUAUUAUAUUUAUGGGUCAAACUUUGUCAUGUAUUUGGGAUUCAAAAGAUGAUCAUUUAGUCCAUGAAUUCAACCCCAAGUAGUUUCUUUGUCAGAUUCAAUGUUCAAGCAUUUUAGAAAGAAAACCUCUAAAUUAAAAAAAGUUGGAAGUGGGUAGGAACAGAACAANNNNNNNNNNNNNNNNNNNNNNNNNNNNNNNNNNNNNNNNNNNNNNNNNNNNNNNNNNNNNNNNNNNNNNNNNNNNNNNNNNNNNNNNNNNNNNNNNNNNCACACACACACACACAUAUAUAUAUAUAUAUAUAUAUAUAUAUAUAUAUAUAUAAGAAUUGAUUAAGAAAUCAGUGAUAUAUAUAUUCGUGGCAAUUAUUUAUCCAGGCUGGCAAAACCAACACCACUUAGAUUGCAUUAUUAUGUCAUCCCAAAUGUUCAAGUAACUAAAAUUAAAUAGGUUAUAACUACAACUGCUCAUGACUAAUUAAUUAUAGUAAGUUUUAGGUUUGGGUACACAGCUUGAUAUUCCCUCCGUCCACCUAAGAAUUCCAUUUCAAAAGAAUGAUGCGUGUCGUCUUAGGAGUAAUAAUAAUUAAACCUUAAAACGCAUUUGGGUUUAAACUUGAAAACAUUAUAUUAUUAUACUUCCUAUAUUCCAUAAAAUAAAAUCAAAUAAAUAAAUAAAUAAUUAAUUAAUGGGAGUCUCCUAGUAGGUAGGCCUCAGAGAUUGAUCUCUCCUCCACUUCUUACCUCAUUAAAUAUUUUGUACAAAUAAUAAAUGCCAAGCUUCACAUCACACAUGUAUGUAUGUAUGUAUUACAUGCAUGUGCCUGAUCGAAGAUGCCAAAUUGCAUGCUAGCAUAGCACCGAUGGCUACAGGCGUGGGAACAUAUAUAUCUAUCUUCUGGUUAGGGUAAUACUUUCUCUUCCUGUGAAGAUUAUUUCAUGUACGUGUUUCUUCCACCGCCCCAUCUCAUUUUCCUUCCUGCUCAGAUUGAGACUCAUCCGUUGAGAGUUACGUUACUAGUACAAAUCUACAAAUGCCAACUGUUACGCCACAACACAAUUAUGUACUACUCUCUCCGUCCUUAAUUAAUUAUUUAACGUUUUAAAGGUAAACACACGAAUUAAGAUAAUAAUUGAAAAACAUUAAAUAUAGUACUCAAUUGUCUAUAAUACCCUUAAAUCUUUUGUUGGAAUAAAGAGAGCUUUGUUAGGAUAAGGAGAGAGAAAGAGUUUAAAGUAUCAAAAAAAAUUGGCAGAGUAAUUAAUGAGGGAUAAUUUUGGAAAAAUUGUUAUUAAUUCUCCUAGAUUUUAACAAACGUCAAAUAAUUAGGGACAAAUGAAAAAUUCUAAAACGUCAAAUAAUUAGAGACGGAAGGAGUAUGUUUCUACAUUUGGAAACAAAGGGAAAGAAAUAAUUAAGCUCAACAGAAUAAUAUACAUAUAUAUAUAUAUAUAUAUAUAUAUAUAUAUCAAAAACUAAAUAAAAACUAGUGUACUUCUUGUGUGGAAGGAAAAUAUUUAUAUCCUAGCUAUCCUAUGGUCCAUACAGAUACUUCUUCAUCAAGGGCAGGCAGUAAAUUGAUCACCUGCCAAUUCUUUAUGAUUACAAUCAUGAUAAUUUAAGAGGCUGAUCAAAAACAGCAGCAGCUGCUAUAGAAUUUGGUGAAACGAAUGGUACUACUUUUCCUUGUUUAUUAUGUGAACAGGCCAGGCCAGGAUGUAGUAGUAAUUAAUUACAAAGAUUCAAUCCAUCUUGAUAUGAUAUGAAGUGAAGAUGCUUCCCAAAGUAGACUACAAAUUUCUAUUAAAAAAUACUCUGUUUUGAAAUUAUAUAUACUCCAUCCACAGCAACCGGUUGUUGGGAGCAACCUCUUUUGNNNNNNNNNNNNNNNNNNNNNNNNNNNNNNNNNNNNNNNNNNNNNNNNNNNNNNNNNNNNNNNNNNNNNNNNNNNNNNNNNNNNNNNNNNNNNNNNNNNNNNNNNNNNNNNNNNNNNNNNNNNNNNNNNNNNNNNNNNNNNNNNNNNNNNNNNNNNNNNNNNNNNNNNNNNNNNNNNNNNNNNNNNNNNNNNNCCUUUGUUGGGUGUUGAGGGGGUAGGUCAGGGCAAUGCGUCUUUAGUGGCUUCUCAAGUCUCCAUGGACUCUGUUUCUCCUACUGGCUUGGGAUUGAAAGAACGAAAUUACCUUGGAUUGUCAGAUUGUUCCUCAGUAGACAGCUCUCCGGCGUUGAGCAUAUCUGAUGAGAGUAAGAGUAAUCUAAAUCUCAAGGCUACAGAACUGAGGCUUGGUCUUCCUGGAUCUCAGUCCGCAGAACGAGAUCCAGAAUUUAAUCUGCUGGUCUUGGGAAAACUUGAUGAGAAACCCUUGUUUCCUUUGAUUCCUUCUAAGGAUGGUAUCUGCUGCUUAUCGCAGAAGACUGUUGUUUCGGGUAACAAAAGGGGGUUCUCUGACACUAUGGACGGCUUCUCAGAAAUAAAAGGUCCGUCAUUUACUGAAGGUAAUUGGAUGUUUAAUAUGCCCAGAUCUGAUUCUGAAACUCCAAAACCUGUUGGACAUGGGAAGUUUUUGGGCAAUGCUAGUAUUAAUGUAAUGCUAUCGUCUGGGUCAGCUGUGACCCAUUCUGCUGGAAUGAAAGAGGUUCCUCUAAAAGCAUCCCAAGGGGGGCAUCAUUUGAAAACUGGAACUAAUAACAAAAUGAACGGUUCUAACAACAAUAGUAGUGCACCUGCUGCCAAGUAAGAGCAAAUUAUUUACUUCUAGGGGUUUUGACCCAUAUAAACAUGGGAAAAGAGGAAUAAACUGUGUUGAUACAGUGUAGCACUCCGGAGCACUUUGCUUACUAAUCUUAUUUUCUCCAUAGGGCACAGGUAGUUGGAUGGCCUCCUAUAAGAUCGUUUAGGAAGAAUACACUGGCUACCAGUUCAAAGAACAAUGAAGAAGUUGAUGGAAAACCAGGGCCUGGUGCCCUAUUUGUUAAGGUCAGCAUGGAUGGCGCUCCUUAUCUGAGGAAGGUAGAUCUGAGAAUAUAUUCUACAUAUCAAGAACUUUCAUCUGCUCUUGAGAAAAUGUUCAGCUGUUUUACUAUUGGUGAGCUAUAUUUGAUACAGUUUUAGUGGUAUUUUGGUUAAAUAUUGGUUUCAGUUCUGUAUGAAGUUUAGCUAAUAUCAAAAUUACUACCCGUUUACCAUGGAUUAGAAUUAACGGUUUUAAAACAAUUCCAGGUCAAUGCGGAUCUCAGAGUACUUCUGGCAGAGAAAUGUUGAGUGAGAGCAAGUUGAGAGAUCUUUUGCAUGGGUCAGAAUAUGUGCUCACGUACGAGGAUAAGGAUGGUGACUGGAUGCUUGUGGGAGAUGUUCCAUGGGAGUAAGAUCACAUCCAUUUCACUUGUUUAGUUUGGUUCUUGAUUCUCUCUCUUUCCUACAAUAGUAAAUAAUUGUGAUACCGAAAUGUUCUAUUAUCUGUUGUCUUGCAUAAAGUGAAGGAGUAGAGAUUUGAUUAAACUCUAGCAGUUCUCAUUGAUAGGGAUAUGAGUUUAUUAAGUUGUCAUCUUUUUGCACUAAAUGUUGUGCCAUAUAAAGCCAUUGUUUAAGCUGUGCAAAGUGAAUCUAUACACCUGUCCAGUGAUCAUUGAUGUUAGUCUUGAUUUUCUGGGCAUGCACAUGCACAAAUUAUGUGGAGAACUCGCAGUACACAUGCUUUCCGUUUCUUCGUCAUUUGGCUAAAGUUUGGUUUAUCAUGUAAGAUUUCACGCUAAACAGCAUUUGAAAUGAGAAGUUUGAAACUUAAUUAAGCUCUCACGUUAAUAAGAUGGUUUCAUUUCAAAACUUGCAUGUUAUAUCAAUCUUUUCUUUUUUUGAAAUAAGCUUGUUAAGUGUAAGAAGGAAUAUCAUAGGUAAGUAAUUGCUACAAUAUGCACUGAAAAUAAAGCAGCGUGUUUGUAAAUUUCACACUGAUGAACUUAUCUUUGCACAUGUAGUACAAAUAUUUGACCCUAAAUAUCGGUCAAAUGUACCUUUACAGGAAAUUAACCUUGAUAUCAAACCAGAUGUCAGUAAUACAUGGGUUCUAUUUAUUAUUUGCUUGUUGGUUUUACAAGUACAUUGUUAUGUGAUCAGGUGAUUAACUAUGUUACCUGGAAUUGACUUCCAUAUUUUAUAUGCUUUUCUCUCUAGAUAGUAGCUCUUUGUAGUCUGUUCAUUUCAUAUAAACCCUGGAUAUAUUGAAGGUGUCCAACCUAUCCCAACUUGAUCAAAAUUAAUGUCAAUAUGAGAUGCUGGGUUGAGGUUCAUUAGAACUGCCUGAUGACUGUAAACUGGACUAGAUGUAAGCUGUUUAGUCCUCUCUUUUCACUGUGCUAAUUAUCUUGCUGGUUUUCAUAGGAUGUUUAUCGAUUCUUGCAAGAGGCUGAAAAUCAUGAAGGGCUCUGAUGCUAUUGGAUUAGGUGUGUACUAUUUGUUAAUCCAAUUUUUUACCAUUUAUACAAAAUCUCUGCAUCGAGACUAGGAAAAAGGAUUGCAUGUGCUUGUAUAUAUACUGUAACUGGUUGUAUCAUGGAGAUGUCAAUUGCACCAUAGAUGUUUAAAUUGUGGUAAUUGAUGUAGUAAUGUGUUUUGGUCUCUACUUGCUAGAAACUAAAUUUGUUGCGAGUAGUUUUGAGAUUUACCCUGCUUCUGAAUUGUAACUUCAGUGUCUGAAAAUUAUCUAUAUUUUGAAUUUGCAUUUGCAUUUUCUUCUGUUUCUUUUGCUAAACAAGUGAGAAAAGCUGUUGCCUCAUUUUCCAUCAUGAUGACAAGACAAAGAAUUAUAAACAUUUUGUUGUUGGUUUUGGUCCACAGCUCCCAGGGCCAUGGAAAAAUCCAAAAACAGAAACUAGGUUUUAUGAGGGCAUAAUGAACUGCUUUCCAGCUGCUUAGUCUGAAGUGGAUGGACAGAACAGAAGGUUAAAUGGUUUGCAGAAUUAUUGAAGGUGACAGGAUAGCUUGGGCUGGAUUGCGGAUCACGGUCUUAGAUGCCUUUCUUGGCCUUAUCUAUAUGUUUGAUUGCAUGGAGAAGUUGACAUGUAUAAUGUUGUGAAGAUUAAUGCUUGUAAAGUUAUUAUUUCUUUAUAUGAAUCCGAAGUGUUAAGUGCGAUUUAUUUUGAUGAAUGUGAUAAAACCUGGUGAAAGUUGUGGUUUCUGACCUAUUUAUUUUUAUUAACUGUACUAUGAUAAUGUAUCCCGGUGUUAUCUAAUAUACGGGCAAUGCUGGUGGAACAUUGCAAACGAGAAAGUAUUGCAGAUGGCGUCUCACAGCCUUGGCA